GGCGGCGUGCCUAAUACAUGCAAGUCGAGCGGACUUGAUGAGAAGCUUGCUUCUCUGAUGGUUAGCGGCGGACGGGUGAGUAACACGUAGGCAACCUGCCCUCAAGCUUGGGACAACUACCGGAAACGGUAGCUAAUACCGAAUACUUGCUUCCUUCGCCUGAAGGAAGCUGGAAAGACGGAGCAAUCUGUCACUUGAGGAUGGGCCUGCGGCGCAUUAGCUAGUUGGUGAGGUAACGGCUCACCAAGGCGACGAUGCGUACCCGACCUGAGAGGGUGAUCGGCCACACUGGGACUGAGACACGGCCCAGACUCCUACGGGAGGCAGCAGUAGGGAAUCUUCCGCAAUGGGCGAAAGCCUGACGGAGCAAUGCCGCGUGAGUGAUGAAGGUUUUCGGAUCGUAAAGCUCUGUUGCCAGGGAAGAACGUCCUUGAGAGUAACUGCUCAAGGAGUGACGGUACCUGAGAAGAAAGCCCCGGCUAACUACGUGCCAGCAGCCGCGGUAAUACGUAGGGGGCAAGCGUUGUCCGGAAUUAUUGGGCGUAAAGCGCGCGCAGGCGGUCAUUUAAGUCUGGUGUUUAAUCCCGGGGCUCAACCCCGGAUCGCACUGGAAACUGGGUGACUUGAGUGCANAAGAGGAGAGUGGAAUUCCACGUGUAGCGGUGAAAUGCGUANAGAUGUGGAGGAACACCAGUGGCGAAGGCGACUCUCUGGGCUGUAACUGACGCUGAGGCGCGAAAGCGUGGGGAGCAAACAGGAUUAGAU
rnacentral:rRNA from 1 species